GAUGAACGCUAGCGAUAGGCCUAACACAUGCAAGUCGAGGGGCAUCACAUGAAGUAGCAAUACGGAUGGUGGCGACCGGCGCACGGGUGAGUAACACGUAUGCAACCUGCCUUCAACAAGGGGAUAACCCGUUGAAAGACGGACUAAUACCCUAUAAUACAGGGGCCCCGCAUGGGGAUAUUUGUUAAAGAUUUAUCGGUUGAAGAUGGGCAUGCGUUCCAUUAGCUGGUUGGUGGGGUAACGGCCCACCAAGGCAACGAUGGAUAGGGGAACUGAGAGGUUUAUCCCCCACACUGGUACUGAGACACGGACCAGACUCCUACGGGAGGCAGCAGUGAGGAAUAUUGGUCAAUGGACGCAAGUCUGAACCAGCCACGUCGCGUGAAGGAAGACGGCCCUACGGGUUGUAAACUUCUUUAUACGGGAAUAAAGUGCCCCACGUGUGGGGUUUUGCAUGUACCGUAUGAAUAAGGAUCGGCUAACUCCGUGCCAGCAG
rnacentral:rRNA from 1 species